AUGCUCUAAUUAACUCUGCUCUGGGAGGCGAGGCUCUCACGAGAGAGAGGAGAGAGAUGGGGGUGGGGGGUGGAGAGGAUUGGGAGCACUUCAGAGAAAAGAUCUGAGAGAAAAGCCUGGGACUCUGCCACCCAGCUCCCUGGCCCCUGGGAGAAGCCAUGGCAGAUAUUUGGGAUGAGGCAGCAUGCUGGUCCCUCAGCAGCAUCCUUAUCACGUCAGCUGUGAGAGAAAUAAAACUGUGAGACUGUGAAGUGUAUAAAGGAUUCUACCGCUCUCCCGGGGCUUGGAGACCCACAGAUUGGAGAAAUCUCCAUCUCAAUCUUCUUUGCCACGUCAUGCAUGCCCUUGAAGCAUUAGAAUUCCUUAAAGCUUCAUGGGAGAAUGCCAUGGGAUGAUGAAGACAGAGAUUGGAGUCAUGCAUCUGCAAGCCAAGAAAUGUACAAGAUUGCUGGCAAACCACCAGAAGCUAGGA
rnacentral:lncRNA from 10 species